UACAGAGGGGGCAAGCGUUAUUCGGAAUUAUUGGGCGUAAAGGGCGCGUAGGCGGCUUGGCAAGUGGAUGGUGAAAUCCCUCGGCUUAACCGAGGAACUGCCGUCCAAACUGCUUCGCUUGAGACCGGGAGAGGUGAGUGGAAUUCCCAGUGUAGCGGUGAAAUGCGUAGAUAUUGGGAGGAACACCAGUGGCGAAGGCGGCUCACGUGACCGGUACUGACGCUGAUGCGCGAA
rnacentral:rRNA from 1 species